GUGCUCACUUCGGCAGCACAUAUACUAAAAUUGGAAUGAUACAGAGAUGAGCAUGACCCCUGUGCAAGGAUGACACACAAAUUCAUGAAGCGUUCCAUAUUUUU
rnacentral:snRNA from 1 species